rnacentral:rRNA from 1 species
CCUACGGGAGGCUGCCGUGAGGAAUAUUGGUCAAUGGGCGCGAGCCUGAACCAGCCAAGUCGCGUGAGGGAGGACGGCCCUACGGGUUGUACACCUCUUUUGCCGGGGAGCAACGGGCGUCACGUGUGGCGCCACUGAGAGUACCCGGAGAAAAAGCAUCGGCUAACUCCGUGCCAGCAGCCGCGGUAAUACGGAGGAUGCGAGCGUUAUCCGGAUUUAUUGGGUUUCAAGGGUGCGUAGGCGGAUCGUUAAGUCAGUGGUCAAAUUGAGGGGCUCAACCCCUUCCCGCCAUUGAAACUGGUUUUCUUGAGUGAGCGAGAAGUAUGCGGAAUGCGUGGUGUAGCGGUGAAAUGCAUAGAUAUCACGCAGAACUCCGAGUGCGAAGGCAGCAUACCGGCGCUCAACUGACGCUCAUGCACGAAAGUGUGGGUAUCGAACAGGAUUAGAUACCCCGGUAGUC